rnacentral:rRNA from 1 species
CCUACGGGAGGCAGCAGUGGGGGAUAUUGCACAAUGGAGGAAAGCCUGAUGCAGCGACGCCGCGUGAGGGAAGACGGUCUUCGGAUUGUAAACCUCUGUCUGUGGGGAAGAAAAUGAUGGUACCAAUAGAGGAAGCUCCGGCUAACUACGUGCCAGCAGCCGCGGUAAAACGUAGGGAGCGAGCGUUGUCCGGAAUUACUGGGUGUAAAGGGAGCGUAGGCGGGUGAGAAAGUUGAAUGUUAAAUCUACGGGCUUAACUGGUAGCUGCGUUCAAAACUGCUUGUCUUGAGUGUUGUAGAGGCAGGCGGAAUUCCUGGUGUAGCGGUGAAAUGCGUAGAUAUUAGGAGGAACACCAGUGGCGAAGGCGGCCUGCUGGGCUUUAACUGACGCUGAGGCUCGAAAGCGUGGGGAGCAAACAGGAUUAGAUACCCUUGUAGUC